rnacentral:rRNA from 1 species
UGGGGAAUAUUGGACAAUGGGCGCAAGCCUGAUCCAGCCAUGCCGCGUGGAUGAUGAAGGCCUUAGGGUUGUAAAGUCCUUUCAGCGGGGAAGAUAAUGACGGUACCCGCAGAAGAAGCCCCGGCUAACUUCGUGCCAGCAGCCGCGGUAAUACGAAGGGGGCUAGCGUUGCUCGGAAUUACUGGGCGUAAAGCGCACGUAGGCGGCUCUUUAAGUCGGGGGUGAAAUCCUGGAGCUCAACUCCAGAACUGCCUUCGAUACUGAAGAGCUCGAGUCCGGGAGAGGUGAGUGGAACUGCGAGUGUAGAGGUGAAAUUCGUAGAUAUUCGCAAGAACACCAGUGGCGAAGGCGGCUCACUGGCCCGGUACUGACGCUGAGGUGCGAAAGCGUGGGGAGCAAACA